UACGUAGGGCGCAAGCGUUGUCCGGAAUUAUUGGGCGUAAAGAGCUCGUAGGCGGUCUGUUACGUCCGCUGUGAAAACCCAGGGCUUAACCCUGGGCUUGCAGUGGAUACGGGUAGACUAGAGGCAGGUAGGGGAGAAUGGAAUUCCAGGUGUAGCGGUGAAAUGCGUAGAUAUCUGGAGGAACACCGGUGGCGAAGGCGGCAUCCUGGACCAUGACUGACGCUGAGGAGCGAAAGCCAGGGGAGCAAACGGG
rnacentral:rRNA from 1 species